GAUAAAUUCAAACCCACAUAGACUCAUGAAAAUAUGAACCCCGGUUCCUUUUACCAUCUAGCCGGACUUGUUGCGUGAAAACAAAAGCAACAAUCAACUCCUCCUCCUCCUCCUCAUCUUCUUCUUCAAGCAAAAGCAAGCUCAGCAGACUCAAGACCUCGUCAAUCAAUCAAUCUUAUUCAAGUGGAUGAAGGGUAAAACACACCCCCACGAGUUAUUUUCGAUUUAGACAACCUUCUAUGCUGUUACCAGUGGACAGAGAGUAAAAGAUUUUAGUUCGGCCGUGUUUUUUCCUCCAUGCUCGAGCCUUUUGUUGGCAAUUUAAAUUUGCCAAUCAGGUCUUAUUCUAUCCCCGGUGAGUAUCUCUAAUUUUUUUUUAUUGUUUGUUUUUGUAUUUUAAAAAUAUUUAUUAAUUUAUUAAUUUUUUA